GCCGGAACACCUUGAUGAACCGGAAGAGGUGCUGCUGAACACCCGACCAUCCAACCUUCAUUUACCUCCUGCUGGAUCCUUGACUGUAAGAAGGAACAACGGUACUGCCACUACAAUGCAGCGACGUGCUGGGAUCAGGCAUCACAGAAGGCAGCCAGGUCUCCGUGGCAGUGCAACAAAGCGUACCGAGCUCGUAGCUGACUGCUAUAAUGAAAAAUUACAGCAGCAGAUGCAGUUCGACCAGCAACAACACGAUCUUCAAAUGAAGAUUUUACAGCAACAAUUCAAGAGGGAGGUCCAGCAGCAACAAUUCCUGGAAGAGCAAAACAAGCUUCAGCUGAGUGUGCUUAGCGAACAGUUAAAAUACUGGCAGCGAAAAAAUCAGACAAUGCUAGCACAGGACUAAAACAACCGUGAUGGCUUGUGAGAGAAAAAAACAUCUUUGUCACAUA